UGCAAGUGCCUGAGUAAUAACAACCUUGUC
rnacentral:piRNA from 1 species